UCCAGACUCCUACGGGAGGCAGCAGUGAGGAAUAUUGGUCAAUGGGCUUACGCCUGAACCAGCCAAGUCGCGUGAGGGAAGACUGCCCUAUGGGUUGUAAACCUCUUUUGUCAGGGAGCAACGCCGGCUACGUGUAGCCGGACUGAGAGUGCCUGAAGAAAAAGCAUCGGCUAACUCCGUGCCAGCAGCCGCGGUAAUACGGAGGAUGCGAGCGUUAUCCGGAUUUAUUGGGUUUAAAGGGUGCGUAGGCGGAAGGUUAAGUCAGCGGUAAAAUGUCGGUGCUCAACCCCGGCCUGCCGUUGAAACUGGCAGUCUCGAGUUGGAGAGAAGUAUGCGGAAUGCGCGGUGUAGCGGUGAAAUGCAUAGAUAUCGCGCAGAACCCCGAUUGCGAAGGCAGCGUACCGGCUCCACACUGACGCUGAGGCACGAAAGCGUGGGUAUCGAACAGGAUUAGAUACCCUAGUA
rnacentral:rRNA from 1 species